rnacentral:misc_RNA from 1 species
GAUGAAGAACGCAGCGAAAUGCGAUACGUAAUGUGAAUUGCAGAAUUCAGUGAAUCAUCGAGUUUUUGAACGCAUAUUGCGCCCUCUGGUAUUCCGGGGGGCAUGCCUGUUCGAGCGUCAUUAAAUAACCCUCAAGCAUAGCUUGGUGUUGGGCUUUUUUACGUCCUUGACUGGGAUGGGCCUAAAAAUUAGUGGCGAUGGCUUUUUUACUUUCAAGCGUAGUAAAUCUCGUCUUGCUAAAGAGGAAAAAGAUUUUUUUUCUGCCAAAAAUUUUAACAUUUAAAGUUGACCUCGGAUCAGGUAGGAUUACCCGCUGAACUUAAGCAUAUCAAUAAGCGGAGGA